rnacentral:rRNA from 1 species
AGUGAACGCUGGCGGUAAGCCUAACACAUGCAAGUCGAACGGCAGCACAGUAAGAGCUUGCUCUUACGGGUGGCGAGUGGCGGACGGGUGAGGAAUACAUCGGAAUCUACUUUUUCGUGGGGGAUAACGUAGGGAAACUUACGCUAAUACCGCAUACGACCUACGGGUGAAAGCAGGGGAUCUUCGGACCUUGCGCGAUUGAAUGAGCCGAUGUCGGAUUAGCUAGUUGGCGGGGUAAAGGCCCACCAAGGCGACGAUCCGUAGCUGGUCUGAGAGGAUGAUCAGCCACACUGGAACUGAGACACGGUCCAGACUCCUACGGGAGGCAGCAGUGGGGAAUAUUGGACAAUGGGCGCAAGCCUGAUCCAGCCAUACCGCGUGGGUGAAGAGGGCCUUCGGGUUGUAAAGCCCUUUUGUUGGGAAAGAAAAGCAGCAGGUUAAUACCCCGCUGUUCUGACGGUACCCAAAGAAUAAGCACCGGCUAACUUCGUG